rnacentral:rRNA from 1 species
GAUGAACGCUGGCGGCGUGCUUAACACAUGCAAGUCGAACGAGAAGUGAAGACGGAAACCUUCGGGCGGAAGGCUUUAUUUCGAGUGGCGGACGGGUGAGUAACGCGUGGGUAACCUGCCUCAUACAGGGGGAUAACAGUUGGAAACGACUGUUAAUACCGCAUAAGACCACAGCACCGCAUGGUGCGGGGGUAAAAACUCCGGUGGUAUGAGAUGGACCCGCGUUCGAUUAGCCAGUUGGCGGGGUAACGGCCCACCAAAGGGACGAUCGAUAGCCGAGCUGAGAGGAUGACCGGCCACAUUGGGACUGAGACACGGCCCAAACUCCUACGGGAGGCAGCAGUGGGGAAUAUUGCACAAUGGGGGAAACCAUGAUGCAGCGACGCCGCGUGAGUGAAGAAGUAUUUCGGUAUGUAAAGCUCUAGCAGCAGGGAAGAAAAUGACGGUACCUGAGUAAGAAGCCCCGGCUAACUACGUG